rnacentral:tRNA from 1 species
CGACUUAGCUCAGUUGGUAGAGCAACGCCCUCGUAACGCGUAGGUCAUAGGUUCAAGUCCUAUAGUCGGC